UUUAAAAGGUGCUUUUGUCAGAGGUGUUUGAACUAAAGUAACUCCAUCUUGAAUAGGGGCUGGGUAAAACGAGGCUGAGAUCUGCUAGGCUACAUUCCCA